UUCCGGUUGAUCCUGCCGGGAGGUCACUGCUAUUCGGGGUUUCGAUUAAGCCCAUGCGAGUCGAGAGGGGUUCGGCCCUUCGGCGUACUGCUCAGUAACACGUGGAUAACCUGCCCUAAGGGAAGGGGAUACCCUCGGGAAACUGAGGAUAAUACCCUAUAGGUUACCGAUGCUGGAAUGCUCGGUAACUCAAAGUUCCGGCGCCUUAGGAUGGAUCUGCGGCCGAUUAGGUAGUUGUUGGGGUAACGGCCCAACAAGCCCGUAAUCGGUACGGGUUGUGGGAGCAAGAGCCCGGAGUUGGAUUCUGAGACACGAAUCCAGGCCCUACGGGGCGCAGCAGGCGCGAAAACUUUACAAUGCGGGCAACCGUGAUAAGGGAACCUCGAGUGCCUGUACAUGCAGGCUGUCUGGGUGUCUAAAACACACCCAAAGAAAGGGCCGGGCAAGACCGGUGCCAGCCGCCGCGGUAAUACCGGCGGCUCGAGUGGUGGCCACUUUUAUUGGGCUUAAAGCGUUCGUAGCUGGGUUGUUAAGUCUCUUGGGAAAUCCGGCGGCUUAACCGUCGGGCGUCUAAGAGAUACUGGCAAUCUUGGAACCGGGAGAGGUGAGGGGUACUUCGGGGGUAGGAGUGAAAUCCUGUAAUCCUCGAGGGACCACCUGUGGCGAAGGCGCCUCACCAGAACGGCUUCGACAGUGAGGGACGAAAGCUGGGGGAGCAAACCGGAUUAGAUACCCGGGUAGUCCCAGCCGUAAACGAUGUGCGUUAGGUGUAUCGACGACCACGAGUCGUCGAGGUGCCGAAGGGAAACCGUGAAAACGUACCGCCUGGGAAGUACGGUCGCAAGGCUGAAACUUAAAGGAAAUUGGGCGGGGGAGCACCACAACAGGUGGAAGCCUGCGGUUUAAUUGGAGUCAACGCCGGG
rnacentral:rRNA from 1 species